CACAGCAGUGUUUAUCGCUCCUUGCGUUUACAUAAUCAUUUGCAGGGUUGAGCCUGGUCAGUACCUGGAUGGGAGACCUCCUGGGAAAACUAGGCUGCUGUUGGAA
rnacentral:rRNA from 1 species